rnacentral:SRP_RNA from 1 species
AGGUACAGUGGCAUAUACCCUCACCUAAGCUACCAGGGAGGUUGGUGGAUCUCUUGAUCUUGAGAUUUUGAUCUAUAGGGACUAUGCUGAUCAGGGAUCUAUAUUAAAUUUGGCAUUAAUAUAGUGAGUCCUGGGAGGGGGAGGGAGGGAGGAGUGAGAGUCGAGAGGGACCAGGUUGCCUAAGAAGAGGCAGACUAGUCCAGGUCAGAAAUGGAGCAGGUCAGAGUUUGCAUGCUGAUUAUAGUAGGAUAAGGCCAGUGAGUAGCCCCUGCACUUCUAGCAUGGGCAAGAUAGUGAGGCCUAGUCUU